rnacentral:rRNA from 1 species
AGAACGAACGCUGGCGGCAGGCCUAAUACAUGCAAGUCGAGCGCUCCGCAAGGAGAGCGGCGCACGGGAGAGUAACGCGUGGGAACCUACCUUUUGGUUCGGAAUAACACCGGGAAACUGGUGCUAAUACCGGAUAAGCCCUUCGGGGGAAAGAUUUAUUGCCGAAAGAUGGGCCCGCGUUGGAUUAGCUAGUUGGUGAGGUAACGGCCCACCAAGGCUACGAUCCAUAGCUGGUCUGAGAGGAUGAUCAGCCUCACUGGGACUGAGACACGGCCCCAGACUCCUACGGGAGGCAGCAGUAGGGAAUAUUGGACAAUGGGGGCAACCCUGAUCCAGCCAUGCCGCGUGAAUGAUGAAGGCCUUCGGGUUGUAAAGUUCUUUGGUGGGGACGAUGAUGACGGUACCACAGAAUAAGCUCCGGCUAACUUCGUGCCAGCAGCCGC